rnacentral:rRNA from 2 species
ACCCCCCUUGCGGACCUUCAUGGAAUGCUCGGGCGGCUGUCUUUCGGGGCAGUCGGGCUCCAUCUCUCCGGAGAUGGGGUCGGCAACCAACCUACACACCCAACCAAACCGUCUGUCUGAAGUCAACUCGACCUAGCACUGCUAGUCGAACAACAAAGACAACUCUCAACAACGGAUAUCUAGGCUCUCGCAACGAUGAAGAACGCAGCGAAAUGCGAUACGUAGUGUGAAUUGCAGAAUUCCGUGAAUCAUCGAAUCUUUGAACGCAUAUUGCGGUCGAGGCUUCGGCCGAGACCAUGUCUGCCUCAGCGUCGGUGUGACCCCCACAUCCACCCCCCUUCGGGGCGGGAUCCGGAUGGAUCUGGUCUCCCCACUGCCCGCCAGUGGGUUGGCCGAAAUUCAGAGGUUUGAGCUUGGACCUGUAUGGCACCAGCAAGGUAGGUAGCUCGACUACUCCAGCUGAUGCUUUGGGAACUGGCCCGAGCCCGCAGGAAAACACACCACUCUUUCGACCUGAGAUCAGGCAAGGCU